GCAGCAGGCCGUUUCAUCGUUCCCGGCCCUAAGGCCGGGGAAGGAAAGUCCGGACAACGCAGAGCGCCAUGCUUCCUAACGGGAAGAUAUCCGCAAGGGUAUGGUUAGUGUAACAGAAAAUAACCUCCCCGACCGUAGCGUCGGGGGAAGGGUGAAAAGGUGAGGUAAGAGCUCACCGGUUCCGGUGGCAACACCGGGAGCCGUACACCUCAUGGGUUGAAAGACCAUGUAUACCGGCAAUAAGGGCUGCUCGUCCGAUGCCGGGGGGUAGGUCGUAUGAUCCUGCAAGUGAUUGCGGGACAAGAUAAAUGAUGAAAACCGGCCGGAAUAUCUCUCGCAGAUGACCCGGCAGGAACAGAAUCCGGCUUACAGGCCGGCUGCUUAA
rnacentral:RNase_P_RNA from 1 species